GGCGCCGUGGCAGAGUGGCUAUGCAGCGGAUUGCAAAUCCGUGUACACCGGUUCGACUCCGGUCGGUGCCUCCA
rnacentral:tRNA from 2 species